GUGUCAGCCGCCGCGGUAAUACAGAGGUCCCGAGCGUUGUUCGGAUUCACUGGGCGUAAAGGGUGCGUAGGUGGCGUGGUAAGUUUGAUGUGAAAGCUCAGGGCUUAACCCUGAAAUGGCAUUGAAUACUACUGUGCUGGAGGUUUGGAGGGGGGACUGGAAUUCUUGGUGUAGCAGUGAAAUGCGUAGAUAUCAAGAGGAACACCAGUGGCGAAGGCGAGUCCCUGGACAACACCUGACACUGAGGCACGAAAGCUAGGGGAGCAAACAGGAUUAGAUACCCCGGUAGUCC
rnacentral:rRNA from 1 species